UACGGGGGGGGUAAGCGUUGCUCGGAAUUACUGGGCGUAAAGGGCUCGUAGGCGGCCAACUAAGUCGGACGUGAAAUCCCUCAGCUUAACUGGGGAACUGCGUCCGAUACUGGAUGGCUUGGAUUUGGGAGAGGGAUGCGGAAUUCCAGGUGGAGCGGUGAAAUGCGUAGAUAUCUGGAGGAACACCGGUGGCGAAGGCGGCAUCCUGGACCAAUAUUGACGCUGAGGAGCGAAAGCCAGGGGAGCAAACGGG
rnacentral:rRNA from 1 species